rnacentral:rRNA from 1 species
AUUGAACGCUGGCGGCAGGCCUAACACAUGCAAGUCGAGCGGAUGAAGGGAGCUUUCUCCUGGAUUCAGCGGCGGACGGGUGAGUAAUGCCUAGGAAUCUGCCUGGUAGUGGGGGAUAACGUCCGGAAACGGGCGCUAAUACCGCAUACGUCCUGAUGGAGAAAGUGGGGGAUCUUCGGACCUCACGCUAUCAGAUGAGCCUAGGUCGGAUUAGCUAGUUGGUGGGGUAAAGGCCUACCAAGGCGACGAUCCGUAACUGGUCUGAGAGGAUGAUCAGUCACACUGGAACUGAGACACGGUCCAGACUCCUACGGGAGGCAGCAGUGGGGAAUAUUGGACAAUGGGCGAAAACCUGAUCCAGCCAUGCCGCGUGUGUGAAGAAGGUCUUCGGAUUGUAAAGAACUUUAAGUUGGGAGGAAGGGCAGUAAGUUAAUACCUUGCUGUUUUGACGUUACCAACAGAAUAAGCACCGGCUAACUUCGUG